rnacentral:rRNA from 1 species
CCUACGGGUGGCAGCAGUGAGGAAUAUUGGUCAAUGGUCGUAAGCCUGAACCAGCCAAGCCGCGUGAGGGAUGAAGGUUCUGUGAAUCGUAAACCUCUUUUAUAAGGGAAUAAAGAGCGGGACGUGUCCCGGUAUGAGUGUACCUUAAGAAUAAGCAUCGGCUAACUCCGUUCCAGCAGCCGCGGUAAUACGGAGGAUCCGAGCGUUAUCCGGAUUUAUUGGGUUUAAGGGGUGCGUAGGCGGCUUGUUAAGUCAGCGGUGAAAGUCAGUGGCUCAACCAUAGAACUGCCGUUGAAACUGGGAGGCUUGAGUAGGGGAGAGGCAGGCGGAAUGCGCGGUGUAGCGGUGAAAUGCGUAGAUAUCACGCAGAACCCCGAUGGCGAAGGCAGCAUGCCAGGCCAUGACUGACGCUGAGGCACGAAAGCGUGGGGAUCAAACAGGAUUAGAUACCCGGGUAGUC